rnacentral:lncRNA from 1 species
CGCUCACUGCCGAGCCUCGGUCUCCUCGUCUGACACUAUGUGGGCGUCUGAACCGGGCCCAGCCGCCUAGGCCGGGCCACCGCGAGAGUCUGGCGCGAGGGUGUCACUUCCCGUGACGAGGGGAGAGUUGGCGUUUUGACAACAGGAGGUGGCCCGGCCGCGGGACCCCUGUUCCCCGUGGGGAGCAGCCGUCCCCGCACCCGCCAAGAGGACCGGGGCAGAGCCCGCCCGCCGCCCGCCCCGCUGUCUUGGGAAGGUUCCGAGUGCACCGCGAGGGCCCUGCGCGCCGCCCUCACCUGCAAAGGGUUUUUUUUUUUUUUUUUUGAGUUUUUCCAAAACCGAGCAGUGCGCCCCGCGGGUAGAACGCCUCGGGUGGGAAGGGCCUGGAGCGCACGGCGCUGCCAUGGGCCCCCGAGGAAGGCGCUGUUUCCUCCUGUGGAUGGACGACGGCCCAGUCCGGUUUCCUCCCUGGCUCCGCCACCUGAUAACCGUUAAUGGCCAUCCUGGCAGAGACAUCUAGGGGCUGGUUGGUCACACUGCCCACUGUCUCCAACAAGGACACGAAAACUGGGGAACCACAUGUGGAAAACCAAAGCAAACGUGAUAAUGCCCCCAACUCUGUAUUUCAAACCUGCUGCUGCUGCCCUGGAGGCUGGGGGUAUUUCUGCAGAAGAGGGCCACACAGGUGGCCCAGUGUUUCCUUGGUUCGAAUCCUGGACGCAGACAUGGCACCACUCAUCCAGCCACGCUGAGGCGGCGUCCCACAUGCCACAACUAGAAGGACCCACGACUAAGAAUAUAUAACUAU